rnacentral:lncRNA from 1 species
UUUUUACUAGCCUGGGGUCCUGGCUAAUCUUGUCAGUAUAGCCAGGCGUGUAUCAAUGUACUGCCUGUCAAUGAUUGGUUAAUACUAAUUUUGUCCUCAAUGUUUGUUUUACAUCUGUAUCCAAUCAAUUCUUGUUUAACAUCAAUUAGUAAAAAUUAGACUGUAAUUAUUUUUCUUUAUGAAUUAAUGUAUAGUGUUAUCAUAUCUAAUUAGUAGUAUGAUGAUAAUUAGUAAGCAGAAAAGGGUUAAUUCUUAUCAGCAAUCGCCUGGUGAGAAAGUUUAAAGUUUAAGAUUUCACAUGUCCAAGGUGUCAAUUGGAUUCCAAUUGUGCUGGUUUACAUCAAACAUCAAAAUUGAUGCAAAUAUUUAUUCAGCC